GAUGAACGCUGGCGGCGUGCCUAAUACAUGCAAGUAGAACGCUGAAGGAAGGAGCUUGCUCUUUCCGGAUGAGUUGCGAACGGGUGAGUAACGCGUAGGUAACCUGCCUGGUAGCGGGGGAUCACUAUUGGAAACGAUAGCUAAUACCGCAUAACAGUAGAUGUUGCAUGAUAUCUACUUAAAAGGUGCAAUUGCACCACCACCAGAUGGAUCUGCGUUGUAUUAGCUAGUUGGUGAGGUAACGGCCCACCAAGGUGGCGUUACAUAGCCGACCUGGGGAGGAGAUCGGCCACACCGGGACGGAGAACCGGGCCAGACUACUUCGGGAGGGAGCAGGAGGGAAACUUCGGCAAUUGGCGGAAGGCUGACCGAGGAACGCCGCGUGGGUGAAGGAGGGUUUCGGAUCGGAAAGCUCUGUUGUAAGGGAAGAACGGGUAGGAGGGUGGAAAGUUCACACUUUGACGGUAUCUUAACAGAAAGGGACGGCUAACUACGUG
rnacentral:rRNA from 1 species